rnacentral:lncRNA from 1 species
UAUCAAGCAGUGUGCUGUAUUUCAGUGCCUCGUGCCUGCUCUCUCCUGCCCCGUUGGUCUGAGAGAUGCCCAUGGAGAUACCAUCUCUGAGACCAUGGGGGUCUUUGAGCUGACCAGCACAGGGCAUGGAGCUGGCACUAUGCUCUUCCAGCCCAUCUCUUGUUGGGAAAGCUCCAGAGAAACCUUUGGUUAUCUAGAAAACAUGGAAUUUCUGAGGAGAAUUACGAGAUGAAUGGCAGAAUAUUGCAGACCUUUGCCAAGGAAGGCGGAUAUCAAAUCGGGCAGAACAUGUUUGGAAAAAUCAUCACCUGAACAUGAGUAUGCCUGAAAGCGUGAGGGCUUUCUGCUGGGGAUGCUGCUUCAGCCCAGCUCUGCAGCACGAAGGUCUGGAGGAGCAAAACCCACCCGCAAAAGGAGCGCGAAGCGGUCGGUGUGACCUCAGGAGGAUGAUGGUGAAUGACCCACGCCCAUGAUGAGGAGCACAUGCAGUGCCGUGGCUGCAGAGCUUCCCACGCUGCAACACACAGCAAUCUGCCACUGAAUACGCCGACAAGGGUCGGUAUCUCUGGUUUACCACCGAACUGUAAGAUCAAAGAUGAGUGCCACAGGGACAGCGGUGAUCCAAAGGCAAUGCAUUAUUUAAAACUUCAGCAAUCAUGACAAUUUUUAGGAGUCUAGCCCAUUAGCUCAGCUUUCCCAUUGGCUGCUCGUCCUCUAUAGUAGGAGUAACCAUUUCACACCUGACAUCUCCUCACUCAUUCUCCUCUGCCCAUGCCUCCAGUCCCCAUGCAGAGGGCCCGGCUUCAGUGUAAGAAGGGAAACGCAGUGCCUAGAGGGUGCAGUGAGGUUUGGGAUGCUCGGGGCACCGCUGAUUUCUCACCUUCAGCGGCACAGCCCCAGUGCGUGCAUUUUCAUUCCAGCUGAGGGUACAGUGUCAGCAGAUGAC